CCAAGGUAUCUAAAUACACAUUGGGGGUCUCAGUGGGGGUACCAAAAACCAUCACCUCUGUCUUUUUAUCAUUGAAUUUUAAAAAGUUAAGAGACAUCCAAGCCUUAAUGUCAUCAAGAUACUGAAGUUAUGGCUGUGUGGAGUAUGUGCCUUCUUUCUUUAGAGGGACAUAGAUCUGACAGUCAUCAGCAUAAAAGUGGAAUGCAAUGCCGUGCUUUCUCAGUAUACAACCAAGAGGAAGCAAAUAUAAAGAGAAGAGGAGGGGGCCUAGAACUGAGCGAUGUAGGACCCCCCACCCACACACACACACACACACACACACACACGAGGACCCGAGGUUGAUGGAGCUUGACCACCCACAGGGGCAAGAAAGUUAUAAGUACUAGAUACUGAUUUCUCUUAAGUAAGAUCAUGAAAUGUUCUUUCCAUAGGUUUGACUGAACAUGAGAUCCUUUCCCAGGCCUUGGUCUUCAUCUUUGGAGGCUACGACACCACCAGUACCACUCUAACUAACAUCCUUUAUAAUCUGGCCACCAACCCUGAUGCGUUGCAGACCUUACACAAAGAAAUUGAUGCUAAGCUGAAGAAAGAUGCACCCAUUUCAUAUGAAGAGCUGACCGGUCUACAGUACCUGGACCAAGUUAUACUUGAAUCAAUGCGACUGAUUCCCCCUGCCCCUCGAAUUGACAGGGUGUGCAAAAAAACUGUGCAAGUGAAUGGACUCACCAUCCCUGAAGGAACCACAAUUGGGGUUCCUGCGUGGGUGUUGCACAAAGACCCACGCUACUGGGACUCACCUGAGCUUUUCAGACCAGAGAGGUUCAGUAAAGACAACAUGGAGGAGGUGAACCCAUACGCGUACAUGCCAUUUGGACUCGGCCCUCGUAACUGCGUUGGGAUGCGCUACGCCCUCCUCGUCAUGAAGAUGGUUAUUGUCCAUCUCUUGCAGAAGUACACUUUGGAAACAUGCAAAGAGACCAUGAUUCCACUUCGGUUUGACUGGAAGUUUCAGCCAGUUCAGCCUGUAAAACUCAAGUUUGUUUCCAGAAAUAAGUAGUCUAAGAGGGAACAUCUCCAAAUCCGCUCAAACAUGUUAUUUUAUGAUUUUGCUUUAAUGUGAGGGAAGUGCUGCCAGGAUGACAUUGACCAUGUAAUUUCUUUUUUCAGCUGCUUUGUGAUAAAUCAAAUGUAUUUUAAUUCAUUUUUAUUAUGUUGAAUGUUUAAUCUGAGUUUUCUUAAAUGUACACAAAUAAUAAUGAAGAAAUAAAGUGGCAUAAAAACAAAA